GGAUGUGAGGGCAAUCUGGCUGUGACGUCUGUCACCCUAGGUUGACCUGAUCACCACGGUUGACUCAGCUGAUCUGGCUGGCUAGGCAGGUGUCUCCUUUCUCCUCCACCACUCCAUGUGUGUCCCUCCAAAGCUGUGCGCCCAAACAGGACGAUCUUCCCUGAUGGCGGAGGACUGUUCUUCAGUCAAGGGUACACAAGUAGCUGCGCUCCCCUGCUAGAACCUCCGAAGCAGCUCUCAAGGUCCAUUUGCAGGAAAACGUAGGGUAGUCAGGGUUCCAAGACUCUAGACACAGCCCGGUGAGGCACUGCAUGUGGCAGUCUGCCUUUCUUU
ensembl:misc_RNA 7SK 7SK RNA